GCAGCGCGGUCGCCGUCGUGCUCUGGGUGAGCACCUCAGUCCCCUCACGGCCUUCAAGCGUUAAGCUGUUCGUUUGAUGAGGAGCAGCGCCGUGUUGGAGCUAUGCAUUCAUUUUCAAACUUGUGGUUUCCAAAUGGCAGCAACCAUCAUUUCUCUCAGGCUUAACUCAAUUAAGGCAUGUGCUGCAGUUGUCAGAGGAGUGGUGGGGGAUCUCAAGGGUGUGCCAUGCGGCUGCCACCACAGCCAUGCAGCACUGCCAGAGGGCAGUGGAAACGUGGAGGAGGAAAAUUAAGCUGUGAACUGGAAUUCCAUCAGGCUGUCUGCUGUGAAGCCCUGUGGCUUUAGCAAACAGGCAGCAGUGGUCAGAAAUGACACUGAAAAGAAAGUUACAAGUAAUUUGUAGAGGACUUCCAGCUCCUGUGAAAGAAGAUGCUUUUGUUCUGCGACAGUCUUCACAUCUAACGAGGCACAUCCACGCAGCACUGUUUAUGCAGAAAAAGAAGAAAAAAAAAGUAACUUUUCUCUGAUUCCUUGAGCACAGAGUGGGACAAAGACUGGAGGGAAGAGUGUGAAAAGUUGGAAACAGGGACUCUGCUUCUGCAACAGAAGUGGUGAUUCUGGGCAGUCGUGCCUCCUGCUUUUGUGUUUGUGCUGUAUUUACUCUCAAAAUAAAAGCACGUUGAUGCUGAAGAAGGAAAUCACCAGUGCCCCAAAAGAGAAAGAUUCUGUUGAAAUGUGUAUUGAAGGACUGUCAACCUUUUUCUAAUAAGUGCCUGACUUGUUUAUAGAUGAGAUCCUUGUAGUAGCUGCGUAAUUUAAAGCACAGGCUUGGGUCCUUUGCGGACCGGGCAGCUGGAUAUGUGGAGGAUCCAGUGUUUGUGUGAUUGAGUAGGAGACAUCUGGAUAAAGGAAUGAAAUAUUUAUUGAUAAUAUACAUUGUCUUUUUUGCCUGAUGUUACUUUCACAUUAAAGACAGCAUGGCAGUUUGUAGAAGAA